AAACGCUUGAAGUCAGUCGCGUCCUUCGAGACUCAGCCUUGCUUUAUUGCCUGGUGUACUUCUCGGUGGACGGGCCAGCAUCAAUUUUGACCCUUGGAUAAUGGCAGGGGAAAGGUGGCACCUUUCGAGGUGUGUUAUAGUCCCAAGUCGCAUGCAAGGGUCGGGAUUGAGGAACUCAGCGCGCCCUGAAAAGGGUCGAGGCUUCGGCCUACGUUCGCGCUUAGGAUGUUGGCGUAAUGGCUUUAAACGA
rnacentral:rRNA from 1 species